rnacentral:rRNA from 1 species
GAUGAACGCUGGCGGCGUGCCUAAUACAUGCAAGUCGAGCGAACAGACGAGGAGCUUGCUCCUCUGACGUUAGCGGCGGACGGGUGAGUAACACGUGGAUAACCUACCUAUAAGACUGGGAUAACUUCGGGAAACCGGAGCUAAUACCGGAUAAUAUAUUGAACCGCAUGGUUCAAUAGUGAAAGACGGUUUUGCUGUCACUUAUAGAUGGAUCCGCGCCGCAUUAGCUAGUUGGUACGGUAACGGCUUACCAAGGCGACGAUGCGUAGCCGACCUGAGAGGGUGAUCGGCCACACUGGAACUGAGACACGGUCCAGACUCCUACGGGAGGCAGCAGUAGGGAAUCUUCCGCAAUGGGCGAAAGCCUGACGGAGCAACGCCGCGUGAGUGAUGAAGGUCUUCGGAUCGUAAAACUCUGUUAUUAGGGAAGAACAAAUGUGUAAGUAACAAUGCACGUCUUGACGGUACCUAAUCAGAAAGCCACGGCUAACUACGUG